rnacentral:rRNA from 1 species
GAUGAACGCUAGCGGCAGGCUUAACACAUGCAAGUCGAGGGGCAGCGCGGGAUAGCAAUAUCCUGGCGGCGACCGGCGGAAGGGUGCGUAACGCGUGAGCGACAUGCCCGUUGCCCGGGGACAACCGGUGGAAACGCCGACUAAUCCCCGAUGGGAUAUUGUGCCGCAUGGCACGAUAUUGAAAGUUACGGCGGCGACGGAUUGGCUCGCGUCCGAUUAGCUGGUUGGCGGGUAACGGCCCACCAAGGCUGCGAUCGGUAGGGGUUCUGAGAGGAAGGCCCCCCACAAUGGGACUGAGACACGGCCCAUACUCCUACGGGAGGCAGCAGUGAGGAAUAUUGGUCAAUGGGCGGGAGCCUGAACCAGCCAUGCCGCGUGCGGGAAGGAGGCCCUAUGGGCUGUGAACCGCUUUUGCCUGGGGGCAAUAAGGGCGUCGCGCACGUCCGAUGAGAGUACCAGGCGAAUAAGCAUCGGCUAACUCCGUG